GAUGAACGCUAGCUACAGGCUUAACACAUGCAAGUCGAGGGGAAACGACAUCGAAAGCUUGCUUUUGAUGGGCGUCGACCGGCGCACGGGUGAGUAACGCGUAUCCAACCUGCCCACCACUUGGGGAUAACCUUGCGAAAGUAAGACUAAUACCCAAUGACGUCUCUAAAAGACAUCUGAAAGAGAUUAAAGAUUUAUCGGUGAAGGAUGGGGAUGCGUCUGAUUAGCUUGUUGGCGGGGUAACGGCCCACCAAGGCGACGUUCAGUAGGGGGUCUGGGAGAGAGGUCCUCCACAUUGAGACUGAGACACAGGCCAAACGCCUACGGGAGGCAGCAGUGAGGAGUAUUGAUCAAUGGGCGAGAGCCUGAACCAGCCAAGUAGCGUGAAGGAUGACGGCCCUAUGGGUUGUAAACUGCUUUUAUAAGGGAAUAAAGUGAGUCUCGUGAGACUUUUUGCAGGUACCUUAUGAAUAAGGACCGGCUAAUUCCGUGCCAGCCGCCGCGGUAA
rnacentral:rRNA from 1 species